rnacentral:rRNA from 1 species
CCCUUAGAUGUUCUGGGCCGCACGCGCGCUACACUGAUGCAUUCAACGAGUCUAAAACCUGCUCUGAUAGGGGUGGGUAAUCUUUUGAAUGUGCAUCGUGAUUGGGAUAGAUGAUUGAAAUUUUUCAUCUUCAACGAGGAAUGUCUAGUAAACGCAAGUCAUCAGCUUGCAUUGAUUACGUCCCUGCCCUUUGUACACACCGCCCGUCGCUCCUACCGAUUGAAUGAUCCGAUGAAUAUCAUGGAUUGAGGAUGCAAGUAGGUUCACCUAUCUUCAUCUUCGAGAAGUGAAGUAAAUCUUAUCAUUUAGAGGAAGGAGAAGUCGUAACA